rnacentral:rRNA from 1 species
AUAACAAUACAGGACUCUUUCCAGGCCCUGUAAUUGGAAUGAGUCCACUUUAAAUCCUUUAACGAGGAUCUAUUGGAAGGCAAGUCUGGUGCAGAGCGACUGACCCGUGCGUGCUGCAGCUGAAACUCCGCUUUCGC